rnacentral:lncRNA from 1 species
GUAUACCAACAUUAUCAACAUAUAUUUGUACCUAUUUAAAAAAACAGCUCAGUAGAUUUCACCUGCCAAUUAAUCUUAAGCUGUAUAAACUAAUACAACUGUACCAUUGCAAUCAACGAAACUAGGAUGAAGUCCAAACAAAAAAGAAUCAACAAUAUAGUAAAUCAUUCUAUAAGCAAGCAUCAUAAAUUGUUAGAGAUACACCAUUUGUUUUAAUGGUUUUCCUUAUUUUCACGCACACCUAGCUUUUGGCGUAACUCUCAACCCGACUUUCGUAACUCGCAUCAUAACUUUUGUUUUUCUCAACUCGAUUCCCCGCAACAAGUGAAUUUUCAUCUCGGCACGC